GGCUAGUGUAGUCAAGUGGUUUGAACAUAGGACUAGGAUUCUGGAGAUCUGGGUUUGAUUCCCCACUCGGCCA